ensembl:snoRNA SNORA70 Small nucleolar RNA SNORA70
CUGCAGCCAUUUACACUAACUCAGCUCCUUUCCUCAUGGGGCCUGAGUGUGAAAUACUUGCAAACAGCAGCAUCCUCAGUGAUAUACUCAAGUGUGUUGCUUGUUUGGAUUACCCUAAGGAUCCUUUAGAAAUAGGA